GAUGACUUCUACUUUCCCUUACCUGUCCCUGGCUGAUGAGGUUAUUAUUGACGUGGGAUGACUUCUACUUUCCCUUACCUGCCCCUGGCUGAUGAGGUUACGUGGGAUGACUUCUACUUUCCCUUACCUGUCCCUGGCUGAUGAGGUUACUAUUGACGUGGGAUGACUUCUACUUUCCCUUACCUGUCCCUGGCUGAUGAGGUUACUAUUGACGUGGGAUGACUUCUACUUUCCCUUACCUGCCCCUGGCUGAUGAGGUUAUUAUUGACGUGGGAUGACUUCUACUUUCCCUUACCUGCCCCUGGCUGAUGAGGUUACUAUUGACGUGGGAUGACUUCUACUUUCCCUUACCUGUCCCUGGCUGAUGAGGUUACUAUUGACGUGGGAUGACUUCUACUUUCCCUUACCUGCCCCUGGCUGAUGAGGUUAUUAUGGACGUGGGAUGACUUCUACUUUCCCUUACCUGCCCCUGGCUGAUGAGGUUACGUGGGAUGACUUCUACUUUCCCUUACCUGUCCCUGGCUGAUGAGGUUACGUGGGAUGACUUCUACUUUCCCUUACCUGUCCCUGGCUGAUGAGGUUAUUAUUGACAUGGGAUGACUUCUACUUUCCCUUACCUGCCCCUGGCUGAUGAGGCACUACGUUUGAUAGUAGGGGUGGUGUAGAACUUUAAGUGAGGAAAGAAGUGGAACAAAUGAUGACCAAUGCCAUCUCGGUAAGUCCAUGUGAGUUACUGCCUCCACUGCAAUUGGACAACAUUUACUCAUUGAUCGCUGAUUGGCUGACAUUAUUGCAACACCUAGUGAAGGAACAUUUUAUGUUUGUGCUUUUCUAAUAACCAAUUUGACUGGGUUCAUGCAAGUGACUGAUUGGUCGUGCCUGGGAGGAAUCUUCACUAUCAGUCUAAGCAAUUUGGCAGCACGCCCAGAACAAAGGGAUAUCUCAGUUUCAAGGUCUCAGCUUGGAAAGAAGAAGCCUCGUGAGGUAUUGGUCGGUCACAUGCAUGAACCAAACGUUAAUGAUGAAUUCAUUCUGAAUAAGCUAAAUCCGAGCCCCACAUUUUUACAGGCAGGGACUUGCCUGUUUUGCAUGUUAUUUUGGCAUUAAUACGUGUCACAUAUAGGUUUGCAAACAAUGUAAAAAAUAUAUAUAUCAUACACA